rnacentral:rRNA from 1 species
GACGAACGCUGGCGGCGUGCCUAAUACAUGCAAGUAGAACGCACAGUUUAUACCGUAGCUUGCUACACCAUAGACUGUGAGUUGCGAACGGGUGAGUAACGCGUAGGUAACCUGCCUGGUAGCGGGGGAUAACUAUUGGAAACGAUAGCUAAUACCGCAUAAUAUUAAUUAUUGCAUGAUAAUUAAUUGAAAGGUGCAAUUGCACCACUACCAGAUGGACCUGCGUUGUAUUAGCUAGUAGGUGAGGUAACGGCUCACCUAGGCGACGAUACAUAGCCGACCUGAGAGGGUGAUCGGCCACACUGGGACUGAGACACGGCCCAGACUCCUACGGGAGGCAGCAGUAGGGAAUCUUCGGCAAUGGACGAAAGUCUGACCGAGCAAAGCCGCGUGAGUGAAGAAGGUUUUCGGAUCGUAAAGCUCUGUUGUAAGAGAAGAACGGGUGUGAGAGUGGAAAGUUCACACUGUGACGGUAUCUUACCAGAAAGGGACGGCUAACUACGUG